UACAGAGGGUGCGAGCGUUAAUCGGAAUUACUGGGCGUAAAGCGCACGUAGGUGGUUGAUUAAGUCGAUUGUGAAAUACCUGGGCUUAACCUGGGAACUGCAGUUGAUACUGGUCGACUAGAGUAUGGUAGAGGGAAGUGGAAUUUCCGGUGUAGCGGUGAAAUGCGUAGAUAUCGGAAGGAACAUCAGUGGCGAAAGCGACUUCCUGGACCAAUACUGACGCUCAUGUGCGAAAGCGUGGGGAGCAAACAGG
rnacentral:rRNA from 1 species